CCUACGGGUGGCAGCAGUGAGGAAUAUUGGUCAAUGGUCGGGAGACUGAACCAGCCAAGCCGCGUGAGGGAGGAAGGUACAGAGUAUCGUAAACCUCUUUUGUCAGGGAACAAAGGCGGGGACGUGUCCCCGGAUGAGUGUACCUGAAGAAAAAGCAUCGGCUAACUCCGUGCCAGCAGCCGCGGUAAUACGGAGGAUGCGAGCGUUAUCCGGAUUUAUUGGGUGUAAAGGGUGCGCAGGCGGGCUGUUAAGUCAGCGGUGAAAGCCCCGGGCUCAACCCCCGACCCGCCGUUGAAACUGGCAGUCUCGAGUUGGAGAGAGGUAUGCGGAAUGCGCGGUGUAGCGGUGAAAUGCAUAGAUAUCGCGCAGAACUCCGAUUGCGAAGGCAGCAUGCCGGCUCCACACUGACGCUGAGGCACGAAAGCGUGGGUAUCGAACAGGAUUAGAUACCCUAGUAGUC
rnacentral:rRNA from 1 species